UUGUUAAACAUAGCUCAUCGGGAAAAACGCCUGACUACGGAUCAGGAGAUUCCAGGUUCGAAUCCUGAACAAG